GCCUUCGUGGUGUAGUGGUCAGCACGCUCGACGAGUAUUCAAGAGGUCCGUGGUUCGAGUCCCACCGAGGGCA
rfam:Stegodyphus mimosarum contig82621, whole genome shotgun sequence.